rnacentral:tRNA from 1 species
GGAAGCGUGGCCGAGCGGUUGAAGGCACCGGUCUUGAAAACCGGCGACCCGAAACCGAAAGGUAACCCCUUUUUGCUUUUG